UACGUAGGGUCCGAGCGUUGUCCGGAAUUAUUGGGCGUAAAGGGCUCGUAGGCGGUUUGUUGCGUCGGGAGUGAAAACUUCGAGCUUAACUCGGAGCUUGCUUUCGAUACGGGCAGACUUGAGGCAUUCAGGGGAGAACGGAAUUUCUGGUGUAGCGGUGAAAUGCGCAGAUAUCAGAAGGAACACCAAUGGCGAAGGCAGAUCUCUGGGCCGUAACUGACGCUGAGGAGCGAAAGCAUGGGGAGCGAACAGG
rnacentral:rRNA from 1 species